AUCCAUCAUCAACAAACAUGGCGGAUAGACGGAAACCUGUCCCGUCUGAAGAAAGAAUACAAGAAACUGACAGACAGUUUCUUGAGAGAACGGGUGUUGGUAAUAUAGUCCGAGAUGUUCUCGCCAAAAUUGUAGCAAACAGACCAGCAGACCCAAUAGAUUUCCUAGCUACGUAUUUCGUGUCUCAGGAGGAGCAGAGUACGAACGUUCAGAGAGCAUGUCAGGUGAUCCAGAUGACUCACCACAGUCGUCCAGUGUUUGAGUCGAACGUCCGCGUCGCCUACGACAUUCUCAGCAAACCUAAAACAACGGGUCCAGCGAGCAAGGUUCAGAAGAAGAGUGGUCUAUCCGGAGCCAUGUACACCGAUGUACUGUACAUGUUGUGCAGUGACAUUCCGACAGCGAUAACCAGUAAGCUUAUGAAGAAGAUUCAGUGUUUUGACUUCGAGGCCGUCCCCUACGAUGUGUUCCGGUCAGCAGUGUUCACCUGUUGUGUUCUACAAGAUUACGUCGCACUGUCGGCACACCUGUUUGACUCACUCGACUCACAGAAAUCGGGAAAAGCCAACAAGGUGCUGUGUGACGCAGUGCUGGAUCAGCUGAGGACUGCACUGGGAAGUUCGAGAAACGACGUCAAAAGAAUCAUGGAAUCAGGAUACAAUCUCGGACCUGAUGGCUUGCAUCUUGCAUUAGACCGGGCAUUAACACGGGAGAGGUCGAACAGUCUUCAGACACUGGACAACUUUGUAAUGGAAGCUUGUGAUGCCUUUCUAACAAAGGUUAAAAAGAAUUCCUGACACUCGCUUUGUCUUGGCUUCACCUCAUUGUGACUUUGGUUUAUCACUCGUCAUCUUGUACUAUAUACACACCUCACCUCACGGAUUGUUGUUGCCAUGGUAAUGUGUGUGUGUGUAAAUGUUCCAGAGUACGUGUAACCGUCUAGAGCGUCCUGCUAACCUCUUCCUGAAAACCUGACAGUAGUAUAUCUGACAUUACAAGGCGUUCAUUGAGUUUAACUUAUUUUUCUUGUGACAUUGCAAGAAGUUCAUUUACAUUAAUUUAUUUUUCUUGCUUGUGACAUUACAAGGCGUUCAUUCACAUUAAUUUAUUUCUGUAAUGGUGACACUACAAAACAUCCAUUCAUUGUAAUUUAUUUUCGUACUUACUCGUUAAUAGUAGUAAGGGCCCCACUAUGGGGCAUAUCGAUUUCACUAUUGCAUCAUCCAAGAUGGCCGCCAAUCUGCGUAGUAAAGGGGAUGAUGCCAUACUGACGUCACUAGGCCCCGCCUCCUGAAGGGUGUAUACAUCUUUAUUUUAAGAACUGACUGAUGCAAUGCUGACGUCACUAGGCCCCGCCUCUAGAAGGGUGUGGGCACAUUUAUUUUAAGAAUUGGUGUAAUACUGACGUCACUCUUACAUUGUACAUUCCAGUUUUUCUUUUAAGAACCGAUGUAAUGCUCAAUACAGUAGUUUGUCCAAAUGUGUAUUUGAAGACAAUGGUUACUUAAAAGACGUAUGUUAAUUAAUAUCCCCCACCCCCUUUGUUAUUAUAUAGCAGCUUAUGAAAGAGACCGUUCGUCGCACCCAACAUUGAAUACAAGUGUACGAGAGAAGAAAUAAAGAAAGAAUGAAGAGUUGUGAAACGUUAAUAAAUGAUACCUUGA